UACGGAGGAUUCAAGCGUUAUCCGGAUUUAUUGGGUUUAAAGGGUGCGUAGGCGGUCGGAUAAGUUAGAGGUGAAAUCCCGAGGCUCAACUUCGGAAUUGCCUCUGAUACUGUUCGGCUAGAGAGUAGUUGCGGUAGGCGGAAUGUAUGGUGUAGCGGUGAAAUGCGUAGAUAUCAGGAGGAACACCGGCGGCGAAGGCGGCUUACCAAGCUACUUCUGACGUUGAGGCACGAAAGCGUGGGUAUCGAACAGG
rnacentral:rRNA from 1 species